UGAUUCACAUUGUUCUUGCACAAAUUGUUCCAAAACGUAUAAUACAGUUAUGUCAACAUAUAUAAAACGACAAAAAAAUUACUGUUAUUAAUAAGCAAUGCACAAGAAACUGAACCACAAAACAAAAAUACAGAUGUCGUUGCUCGUCAUCAGCUUUUGUUUUACUUAUACAUUCCUUGAUAAGUAGGAUCGCCAAAUGUUAGUGAAAAUCAAAAAGAAGAAUGUGUGAAACAAAUGAAAUUACUAUGUAAUAGCAAGUACACCAGUUGUUCAGUAGCUUCUUCACUCAUGUAUGAGUAGAUAUUUGCUGAAAAUACAUGCCUAUGAAUGUGAGUGGACAUCACCACCGUAUUUGAAGCAUGUUAAUCAUGUGAAUCUGUGUAAUCAAAUUAAUCACUCUUGCAGUUCUCUGGUGUGCACAUACUUUUGACUACUGGUAUUCAUUAUUUCCUUUGGUCUGUCAUAUGUCCAUCUAUUCUAACUAUACUUACAUCCUUCGCUUAGAAAUAGAUCAAGAUUUACAACUACAUAACAUUUUAUUGUGCUGCAACAACAAUAUAUAAAGCUUUUUCUGUGGAAUUUGUAAAACACGUUCAACGUGUAAAUACUUGUGUCUAUCUCUGUAUAUAAAUUUUUGUUUGUAUUUACAUUUCUUAAAUAUUUGCCCCUAUUUUCGUUGUCGUUAUCGUUUUAAUAAGAACGCCUAUUUGGCAUUACUGUUGGCGUUAUCGACAUUUAUCGAAAAUAAAUUGAGAUUCCCCAAUUGAAACGACUAUAGAAUUGACAUAGAAACAGUCGUUCUUUGUCGUUGCUAUAAUUGAGAGCGAUAUAGAAACGACGCGGUUAUUUGAAGUGAAGAUGAAAAUUCCAAAUCGGAAACAGUUUGAAAUUUUAAUUUCUGAAAGCUGUUGCGAAUUUAAUGCAGUUCGGUAAUUAGCUGGACCUCCAGGUAUACCAGCAAUGGCAGGAAGUGCUAUAAUCGGUGGAGUGUUACUGGCUUUAAUUGAAGGAGUUGGAAUUUUAUUUACCCGUCUUUCUGCAGAACAAUUUCGAAAUCCUACACCACCAAUUGAAGAUCCGAUAGCACUAGGCGAUACUGCACAAUCUUUAGGUUUGGGUCAAACCCAUCAGCAUCAAUCACAGUAUCAGUGAAUACGCGUUGUAAUAUGUACAGGAUUCUUAUUUAUACAUAUGCGUUGUAACAUAUUUGUGAACCAAGUUCAUAACGGUGUAAAUUUAUUUUUAAUAGACCAUAAUAUUUAGCAAUUUUACAAUUUCUGAAAAUUACGUUAUAUUAACAUUUAAAUCUUAUAUUUCAAUAGUCAUUUGUAAUAUUCUGAUGAUUAUGUGAAAUAAAUUUAAAUUAAAUAAUGAGUUUGAACAAAGAAAAACUUAAGCCCAAGGUAACAAAAUUAAGGCAAACCACAAACGAAACUAUAACCUAUAUUUAAUUCCAAUUAUUCCAACAGAAAAUGUAUUAUCAAAAUAAUUUCUUGUAGCACACGAGUCAUGAGAGUCUUGUUCACCUAAUGGUUGUUUUUAAUAUCUAAAACUAAACAAGUUAGGUAUAGUGUCGCAAAACAAAAUGGUCAACGAUAAGUUGAGAUAUCUUAAUAAAACUUGGUUUACGUGUUUACCUUAAAAGUAAAAA